UGAGGCCACGGCACUCACUCUAAACUGGCAACAGAGACUCGGUAUCAAAAAGAAAAAAAGAAUAGUGGGAAGGAGUUGGCCUCCCACAGGAGUUGGGCUUUCGCUGUGUGGAGUUUGCAGGGAGCAGGUGCCGCGAGGACUCGCAGGGGGCGCGGGCGACUCGGGGCGGGCGCGCCCCACAGAGCCCAGGGCCGGGCAGACUGUCCUCUGACGCGCGGGCGGCAGUGACGUCCACGAGCAGGUAGACUGCCGCCGGUGUAGCCUGUGACAAGGCCGGACGGGGACCCCGGUGCCACUGCAGCCUCUAAACUUUGUUUGCUGGGUGCUCGACACAUGAGCUGUGACCGGCAAAGGAAACGUCCCGUCCUCCGCCUUCCGAGGGGGAGGCUCUGGCGGGGUCCCCACGCGUGGGCCACCUGCGCAGGUCAGGGACGGAGGUCGGGCGGGAACUCCUGGACGCCGUCCCAGACCGUCUUCGCCCCGCAUCUCCAGGGGGAAGCUGGGCUCUUCCAGUCACAGGCCCAGCCGGGCGUGCCUGGGACUGAAGUUUAUUUAAGAGCUGCGACGCGGAGGAAGAGGACCCCGCGUUGAUACUUCUCCUCCUCUGAGGCGGGCCGUGCCGUGUGGCGAGUCCCCGCCGCGCCGCCCUUUUGUGGCGACGCACUCGACCCUGAGCAGACCUCGUCCGGGUCGCCUCAGCCAAGGGCCGUGCGCCAGAUAUUCUCUGCUGAGGAGAGAAGCUGAGGAGAGAGGCAGGAGGGAACACAGAAACACCCAAUCUGUUAUAGUUAUUCAAAGAGUUUUCAAACAAGGAAUGCCAUCCCACCCCACGUUCUCGGGACACAGCGGCGCCCGUCUCUGAACUGGCGGCGUGGCGAAACCGGAAGCGCCGUUUGCGCGCGUUGUUCAGCGCGCAUGCGCUGACGGGCUGCAAGCCAUACGCUGGCGUCGGGCGCCAUGUUCCGUCAGCUUUUGCGGCGCGUGUCUGAGGCCGAUGCGGCAGCUCUCUCAGCGCGUUAGCGCCAUGCACGGCACUCUUGUUCUCUUUCCAGUGCCUCGGGGAGUGCCUGGCACACAGCAGUCACUCCAUAAAUGCCUGAGCCGGUCCAGUCCCGUUCCUGAAGUGAGGCGCCAGGUCUACACGCGUCCAUCUUGUAGUUCACGUCCCCACUCCUGUCCCCCACAGGCGAGCUGCCCCACGAAAUACCUGGGCAAGGAGUUAAGAGCAUCUCCAGGUUGCGUGGGCACCACCUCAGGAGCACGCUGGCCGCCACCCUGCCCGAGGAAUGAGACCUGGAGCUCAGGAUACGGAUUCUUACCCGCCAAAACCCAGGAGAGAGACCCUCCUAAGGAUCCGAAGGUGUCAAAGCCUCGCAGAGUGUGGUACAUGAACACGUGGAGCCAGGGUGCAUUCAUUUUCAGAACUUUCUGCUUGAAGAGGGGUCUGGACAAGUGCACGAUUCAUUCUGGAUUAUGUACGAAUCUUUGAUGCUGACAAGGGAGUUGUCCUGUUGCCAAAAUCAGCCAAACUGAUCCCGUGACCCCACCCACCUGUGCUCUUGUCUCCCUUUGCUGUGGACGUCAGAAAGUAAAUCCCAACUUCCCACUUCCCCUGUGGCCAGGUGGCACCUGAGGAAUCUGGCUGCUGAUUAAAACCCACGUGUGAUUUCCAGGCCCUCCCUGCAGGCCGUACGGCAAAAGGACUGGUGUGUCCAGGAGUGGCGGGCAAGGCCGCCCCACCCCCCACUCCCGCCAGCCAUCGCACACACCUGCACUCCAGCUCCCGAGCUCCCUGUGGGCCUCAGAGAACCCCGCAGGGAAGACACUUCUCUCUGACUCAAUCCUCUCCCACUCUCAGCCCUUCCCCUCAUGCUACCCAACACCCACCCACUGCCCCAGGUCCGUAAAACUUCAGGAGCCUUUUGUUUGAGGACCCCUCGAGAGUGAGCUGACCCCCAUGUCUGCGCUGACCCUGCUGGCCCUGGGCCCUGCGGGUGCUCCGGUCCCUGGGAGUCAGCACAUCUCGCAGCUAUAGCCUGUUGCUGGCGCUAGUGUGGUAAGCCUUCUCUGUGCCUUUGGUUUGGCUUGUUGUUGCUUUAAUUAGCUACUCUAAUGCCUGGCAGCUCUCUCAGGUCAACUGAGCUCCUGACAGAGCCAUGGGCUGCAAUUUUGGGCAGUUUUCAUCUAAGAGGCAGUCAGCUGCUUGGUUUGUAAGGGGCUGGGGAUGGAGAAUAAAUGACAUUCUGCCUUUGUCCUGGCCAGGCGACAGGUGUGAUGGUUGGAGAUGCAGCAGCCAUUAUACGAGCACAAUGUGAUAAGCCAAGACCCUAAAUAAAGGUGCCAAGAAGAAAGGUCAAAAGAGCCUGGGUUCUUGAUAACACUAUCGAGCCACUAUAAUAGGCUCAGGAUAUCUUUGUACUUCUUCUUGUGCAAG